rnacentral:rRNA from 1 species
AUUGCAGGCUGCAACUCGCCUGCAUGAAGUUGGAAUUGCUAGUAAUCGCGAAUCAGAAUGUCGCGGUGAAUACGUUCCCGGGCCUUGUACACACCGCCCGUCACACCAUGAGAGUCGAUAACACCCGAAGCCUGUGAGCUAACCGUAAGGGGGCAGCAGUCGAAGGUGGGGUUGGUGAUUGGGGUGAAGUCGUAACAAGGUACC